UUAGAGUUUUAUUUUUGCUCAGGAUGAACGCUGGCGGCGUGCCUAAUACAUGCAAGUCGAACGCACAGCGAAAGGUGCUUGCACCUCUCAAGUGAGUGGCGAACGGGUGAGUAACACGUGGACAACCUGCCUCAAGGCUGGGGAUAACAUUUGGAAACAGAUGCUAAUACCGAAUAAAACUCAGUGUCGCAUGACACAAAGUUAAAAGGCGCUUUGGCGUCACCUAGAGAUGGAUCCGCGGUGCAUUAGUUAGUUGGUGGGGUAAAGGCCUACCAAGACAAUGAUGCAUAGCCGAGUUGAGAGACUGAUCGGCCACAUUGGGACUGAGACACGGCCCAAACUCCUACGGGAGGCUGCAGUAGGGAAUCUUCCACAAUGGGCGAAAGCCUGAUGGAGCAACGCCGCGUGUGUGAUGAAGGCUUUCGGGUCGUAAAGCACUGUUGUAUGGGAAGAACAGCUAGAAUAGGGAAUGAUUUUAGUUUGACGGUACCAUACCAGAAAGGGACGGCUAAAUACGUGCCAGCAGCCGCGGUAAUACGUAUGUCCCGAGCGUUAUCCGGAUUUAUUGGGCGUAAAGCGAGCGCAGACGGUUGAUUAAGUCUGAUGUGAAAGCCCGGAGCUCAACUCCGGAAUGGCAUUGGAAACUGGUUAACUUGAGUGCAGUAGAGGUAAGUGGAACUCCAUGUGUAGCGGUGGAAUGCGUAGAUAUAUGGAAGAACACCAGUGGCGAAGGCGGCUUACUGGACUGUAACUGACGUUGAGGCUCGAAAGUGUGGGUAGCAAACAGGAUUAGAUACCCUGGUAGUCCACACCGUAAACGAUGAACACUAGGUGUUAGGAGGUUUCCGCCUCUUAGUGCCGAAGCUAACGCAUUAAGUG
rnacentral:rRNA from 1 species